rnacentral:lncRNA from 1 species
ACACAGCUGGGAUGUGGCAGAGCUGGGGUUCCAGCUCCUGUUCCCAUUGCUGGACAGCUGCCACAUCUGGCACCCAAUUUAGGACCCCGCGGGGAGGCCCAAGCCCCGGGGGUGGCGGGGGAUCCUAGAGGAAAGUGGCAAGGCCAGGACCCUGGAGCAGAGCCAGAGUAGAAAACUGAGGCUCUGAGAGAUGAAGCUACUUGCCAAGGUCACGCAGCACAGUCACAUCCUACUGAACAUCAUCCUGUUCUCUGGGUGGAAUGUCACCAUCGCCCAGGUGGGGAUUUUUGUGUGUUUUGUUCACUGCUGUACACCCAGCCCCCAGCACAGCGCCUGUCCAGGACAAGUGCCCAGUAAACACUUGGGAAGCAAUGCAAGCGUCCUCCCAGCAGCUCCUGCAAACAGACCCCCGACCCAAGCCCUUCCUUCUGCCUCCACUGCCACCACUGCUGCUCAUCUCUGCUGGCACAGAAGUCUCUUCCCUGGUCUUCCAGAAAUCCCCUCUCCACACUCAGCCAGAGGGAGCUAUUAAAACUGUGGGCCAGCCCACAUCAGUCCACAGCAAAGUCCUCUCUAAGGGAUCUCUGUUGCUUGGAGAAUAAACCCUCGGAUUCCUUCCUUGGCUCUCGGGGCCUCCUCUCUGACCUCCCUCUGUCUCCUCUCCCAGCCUUCCUCCUCACUCACCCUCCAGCCAUGCUGGCUUCCUCCUUGCUCCUGAAACAGCCUGAGGCCCACACUGCCCCGGGCCCUUUGCACUGGCUGUUUCCUCUGCCUGGAACACUUCUCCUAGGCAUCCACAGGGCUCCCUCCCACAACUCCUUCGGGUGCCCACAUGGGAAGCCAUCCCUGACCACCCCCCCGACUUCCUUCUGAGCAAGGUAGGGUCUUUCUACCUAGUCAUGAGGGCAGGGAUUUUUGUCUGUUGUGUUCUCUGUGUGCCCCCAGUGCCAUCCCAGUGCCUGGCAGAUGGUAAGUGCUCGACACACAUUGGCUGACUGCCUGAAUGAACAACUCUAUGAGCCGAUGGCAGAUAAGGACACUGAGGUCCUCUGGGGUAGGUGACCAGCCCAAGGCCACACAGCUGGUCUGAGAUUAGGCCAGGAGAGGAGCCCGGGUUGGUCACAUCCUGGAGUUGGCGUCUUGGAAACUGCAUCAGGAGAAUAACAAAGAUGAGACGCAGGCUCUAACAAGUGGAUACCAGUGACUCUCGCCCCGCCAGCCCCAGCCCUGCAGCCUUGGGCCCUUCCAGGAGUCAUGGUCUGCCUGCCUGGGGCAUUCCAGGCUUCGACCCAGGUCCUGCACUUUCUAUUUUGAGCCUCUUAGUCCUGAGGACUGUGUGUUCCCAGCAGGCGGCGCGGGCCAGAGGCUGAGCCUGGGUGUGGCUGUCACCCUAUCUGGGGCCAGAGACCCAGAUUCCCGGGCCCUUAACCUGUUGGCUGCUGAGGGCUCUGGCAUAAGCCCUGUUCCCUGCUUGAUUGUCUCCCCUUCAAGCCCCUGCCCUGGUAUCGUAUCGGCCCAUCUCACCUUGGAUUAUAUCCCUGUUUGGCCCCAUUUGAAUCCUGGCUCUGCCCCUUUCCAGCAAUGUGACCUUGGGCAAGUCACUUCAUCUCUCUGGGUCUCAGUUUCUUCAUCUGGGAAAUGGGGACAAUAAGAGUACCUGUCUCUGGCCAUGUGUGGUGACUCAUGCCUGUAACCCCAGCGCUUUGGGAAGCCGAGGCGAGAGAAUUGCUUGAGACCAGGAGUUUGAGAUCAGCCCUGGGCAACAUAGUGAGACCCCUGUCUCUACAAAAUUCUAAAAAAAUUAGCCGGGUGUGGUGGUGUGUGCCUGUAGUCCCAGCUAUUCUAGAGGCUGAGGCGGGAGGAUUGCUUGAGCCCAGGAGUUUGAGGCUGCAGUGAGCUAUGAUUAUGCCCCUGCACAUCAGCCUGGGUGAUAGAUUGAGGCCCCAUCUCUAAAAAUAACAAUACUAAUAAUAAAUAAAAAUGAAAAUGAGUACCUGUCUUCUGGGGUUGCAGAGGAGAUUCAAUGUGAUGAAAUUGAUGAGAGUGCCCUGCAGGGAGCCGGAAACUCAGGGAGCAUCGAUAAUGAGUCCCCCACCAUCAGCAGCUGGCUUAAAUAUAAAAACUGUCAUGGCCUCUGGAGAAAUGACAAGAAUUCGAAGGAGCUUCCCUGCACUGGCCACCCUACACCCUACACCCUUACUUCCUCCCCUCAACUUGCCUGGAUUUAUCGACCCCCACUACCCCACUGGUUGCCUUCUCUCCACCUGGCACAUUUCGUAUGAAUUUGCUUGUUGGUUCUUGCCUAUCUCCCCAGUAGAACAUUAGCUCCUUCAGGACAGGGACUUUUGUCUACCUUAUGCACCUAGUGCAAUGCCUGGCACACAGUCGGUGCUUAAUAAAUGUUUCUUAAAAGAACCAAUAAAUGAAUAGUGACCUCUCCGGGGAGAGGAGCCCUGAGCUCACCUCCUGCCCCCAGCCCAGGGCUCUUAGGUGCUUGUUGGUGUCAGGCCCAGGCCCCCCUCUCAUCAAGCAGCCAAUAAAACUGCCCUGGUUGGCGUUCUCAUUUCACAGAUGGAGAGACUGAGCCCAGAGAGGGAGAGUCACCUGUCUGAUGUCACACAGAGAGGAAGGAAUGCUGUUUGAAGGUCAGGUCAAUGGAAAGAGUCCUAUUUUCAGGUCAAUUUGGACCUUGCCAAAGCCUCUUCCUUCUGGUGACCUUAGCUGAGAGGUCUGCCACUAGCAGGUGCUUCAUGAACAGUUGCUGAACAAGUGGUGUGCAUCAUGCUCCCGCUGUGAACUUCAGCUUGCUUGAAGGCGGAUUCCUCCAG